rnacentral:rRNA from 1 species
AGCACCGGCUAAUUCCGUGCCAGCAGCCGCGGUAAGACGGAAGGUGCAAGCGUUACUCGGAAUUACUGGGCGUAAAGCGUCCGCAGGUUCCAUAUCAAGUCUGUUGUAAAAGCACGGGGCUCAACCCCGUUGUACGUGACGGAAACUGAUGUGGUAGAGUCACUCAGAGGCAUCUGGAAUGCCGUGUGUAGGGGUAAAAUCCGUUGAUCCACGGUAGAAUGCCGAAAGCGAAAGCAGGAUGCUGGGGGUGUACUGACACUCAUGGACGAAAGCGUGGGGAGCGAACGGGAUUAGAUACCCCGGUAGUCCACGCCCUAAACGAUGCGUGCUCGGUGUGGGGCUUUCAAUCAAGCCCCGUGCCUUAAGCUAACGCGGUAAGCACGCCGCCUGGGAAGUACGGCCGCAAGGCUAAAACUCAAAGGAAUAGACGGGGACCCACACAAGCGGUGGAGCAUGGGGUUUAAUUCGAUGAUAAGCGGAGCACCUCACCCAGGUUUGACAUCCCGGGAACCCCGCGGAAACGCGGGGGUGCCGCAAGGAACCCGGUGACAGGUGAUGCACGGUCGUCGUCAGCUCGUGCCUUGAGGUGUACUGUUAAGUCAGCAAACGAGCGCAACCCUCAUCCUAUGUUGUUUUUUCAUAGGAGACUGCCGCCUCCAAGGCGGAGGAAGGUGGGGAUGACGUCAGAUCUGCGUGUCCUUUAUGCCUGGGGCAACACCCGUGCUACAAUGGCCGGUACAAAGGGGAGCAAACCCGCGAGGGCUAGCAAAUCCCAAAAAACCGGUCUCAGUUCGGAUUGCAGUCUGCAACUCGACUGCAUGAAGCUGGAAUCGCUAGUAACCGUGAAUCAGCUACGUCACGGUGAAUACGUUCCUGGGUCUUGUACUCACCGCCCGUCAACUCAUGAAAGGCAGGGGCGCCCGAAGCACCCUUACCCGCAAGGGGGGGUACCACGGUGAAACUGCUGAUUGGGAGUAAGUCGUAACAAGGUAUCCGUAGGAGAACCUGCGGAUGGAACACUUCCUUA